rnacentral:rRNA from 1 species
UACAGAGGAUGCAAGCGUUAUCCGGAAUGAUUGGGCGUAAAGCGUCUGUAGGUGGCUUUUUAAGUCCGCCGUGAAAUCCCAGGGCUCAACUCUGGACAGGCGGUGGAAACUACCAAGCUGGAGUACGGUAGGGGCAGAGGGAAUUUCCGGUGGAGCGGUGAAAUGCGUAGAGAUCGGAAAGAACACCAACGGCGAAGGCGGCGACCUGGGCCAAUAUUGACGCUGAGGUGCGAAAGCGUGGGGAGCAAACAGG